rnacentral:rRNA from 1 species
GAGUUUGAUCAUGGCUCAGGAUGAACGCUGGCGGCGUGCCUAACACAUGCAAGUCGAGCGAUUUACUUCGGUAAAGAGCGGCGGACGGGUGAGUAACGCGUGGGUAACCUGCCCUAUACACACGGAUAACAUACCGAAAGGUAUGCUAAUACGAGAUAAUAUAAGAGAUUCACAUGGAUUUCUUAUCAAAGCUGAGGCGGUAUAGGAUGGACCCGCGUCUGAUUAGCUAGUUGGUAAGGUAACGGCUUACCAAGGCGACGAUCAGUAGCCGACCUGAGAGGGUGAUCGGCCACAUUGGAACUGAGACACGGUCCAAACUCCUACGGGAGGCAGCAGUGGGGAAUAUUGCACAAUGGGCGAAAGCCUGAUCCAGCAAUGCCGCGUGCAGGAUGAAGGCCUUCGGGUUGUAAACUGCUUUUGUACGGAACGAAAAAGCUUCUCCUAAUACGAGAGGCCCAUGACGGUACCGUAAGAAUAAGCACCGGCUAACUACGUGCCAGCAGCCGCGGUAC